GGGUUACUGUAAGAUCCUUACAUUGAUGCCCAAACCUGGGACGGGGGAUCUCCCUGUCACCCAAGGCAGAACCGGCUCCCAAACUCUGAGCCCAACUGUUCCUGUCGUAGUCCACUCCUCUGAUCACCUGCCUGACAUCCACCACUGACUCGCGGAUCGGUGAGUUCCCCCAUCCCAUGAGCGCCUGAACCCUAACUCACCAGAAUGAGGGAAUUGACCGAUGAGUGUCCGGCAAUCCCUCCGGGAGUUUUAGGGGUAAAUGCACCCCACUCAGACCCGUAUCUCUAUCAAAGGGUAAUAAGGCCCACUGCCCACCAGUCUCAAGGCAUCACUUUUAUGUGGGACAACUGUAUACCGCUGUCUGCCCCCUGACUGGAAACAUGCACAUGUAUUCUUGUUCUCCUGUUUCCCUAUAAAGACAGUUCCAGGAGAUACAGAAAUACCAAUCCCUCUCAUGACACACAUAAGACCCAAAAGGGCGAUCCAAUUCAUACCUCUCCUCACUACUUUAGGAAUUACAGCAGGCUUGCCAAUGGGUACAGCAGGUUUGACUACCUCCCUCACAUACUAUAAUCAAUUGUCCAAAUCAUUCAUAGAUGACCUCCAACAGGUGAUUGAGCCCAUACUUACCCUCCAAAAUCAAUUAGAUUUCUUUGCAGCAGUAGUCCUACAAAACCACCAAGGCUUAGAUCUACUCACAGUGGAAAAAGGAGGCCUCUGCCCAUUCUUACAGAAAGAAUGUUGUUUUAUGUUAAUCAGUCAGGGAUAGUGAAAGAUAAGAUUAAAAAACUACAGGAACAACUAGAAAAAAGAAGGCUGCAAUUGGUACAACAAUCCUAUUGGGACCUCUUCACAAACCCCUUAUCUGCUGGAGUCUCCCGAUGCUAGGACCUCUAGUUGGGGUCUUUUUAUUCUGUGUCUUCCUUCUUUGCAUUUUAAAUUCCUUCAAGGACAAAUUAACAAAAUCUCUAACCAAACUUUCAAUCAGUUCCUCCUCAGGGAUUACCAGCUACUUGCCAAUGAGCUGGACAACACUUAUGUCUACUCAUACUGAAAAGCCUCCACCAAGUGCUGAAAGACGAAGAUACCAAAUGACAACUCCACCGAAGGGCCAUCUCUACCCCACCAUUCCAAAGAAAUAAGCCCUUGGUUUUUAGCCAUAUAUGUUCUAACCUGCCUUCUCCUGAGCAUAGGUCUUUUUAUCUACCAGCCCUGGAUGACAUGGAUGACAUGCCAGAAAUUAAUGCUGUCUCUUUUGUUCCUUUUCGUAGCUGCAGAUUUGUGGCUUGCACUGUACCUCUGAUCCUCCUCUUAAUGAAGAUGACACCUGUUACCCUCUGAUGCAUGCAAUUCUUACAAGCCCUAGGGGAAGAUAGUUGGCUUAUCUCUCCCCCUGGGCCACCCCAAUGAAUGGCUCAUUAUAUCCAACAAUUUGUGGUUGCAGGGCACGUUCAUGGACUUCUCCCCGGAGGAAAUCCAUGCUUUCAGCACAUGGAUGUGGGGCCUCCUGGCCCUCCUUCUCCAACCAACUGACCUCCCUCCCUCUAAACAACACCCCUACUUAGCAGGAAGAAGCCAGAACUAGUAUGAUGCCCCCAAACCAAAACAAAAAAGGGAGGAAUGUUGGUAAAGAUGGCGCCCGAAGUGCAUCUCUUCCGGGAGUUCAGGUCCAUGAUGCACUGAAUGGCGUGAACUACCACCUAAGUGGCACAAACCAUCACCUCCAAUCCCUGAAAUGGCGCAAACUGUGACCUCCCACCCCUAGGAGACUAAUACCCUGUCCUGCCCAGAAAUGGACCCUUGGUCAAUAAAGAAGUAAGAGCCAACUCCCCAUGCUCAUUCUCUCU
rnacentral:lncRNA from 1 species